AUGUUGCAGUCUUGUUUUGGUCGCAACAAGCACCAAAACUUGGUUCGUCAGAUGUUUCAUAUUCGUCAGACUAGCACAGUCGAGGAAUAUGUGAAGCGUUUCUCUGAAUUGUACGACCAAUUGACAACAUAUGAGACGAACCCCAGCGCUGUUCACUAUGUCACAAGGUUCAUGGAGGGCUUGACGCCAUCAGUUCGUCUGCUAGUUGGGAUUCAGCAGCUCAUGGACCUUGACUCGGCAUAUGCACUUGCCUUACUGUCAGAAGAGUUGGGUGACUCGACCCUGUUACAGAAUAAUAGUUCAUCCUCUUACAAGCGAUCGGCGGCAUCAGUGACAGCCCGUUCCUUGACCAAAAUCACUGAUGACAAGAGGCCACCUGAACCUAUUCGAAGUUCUCCUGCUGUGGAGGAUAGAUGGUCUGCCCUGCAUGCAUAUAGGAAAUCUAAGGGGUUGUGUUUUGUGCGUGGUGAGAAAUGGGCCCGUGAACAUAAGUGCCAGCAACAAGUACAGUUACAUGUUGUGUAG
rnacentral:rRNA from 1 species